rfam:Camelus ferus unplaced genomic scaffold scaffold197, whole genome shotgun sequence.
GCGGGGAGAGCUCAGUGGCAGAGUGCGUGCUUAGCACGCCCGAGGUCCUGGGAUCAAUCCCCAGUACCUCCC